CUGAGACGCCCAGCUCGCUAGUUAGGCCGGUCCUCGCCUCUCCUUCCGAGCACCUCCUCCAGGAAGCCCGCCGUGACUCCCUAGAGUCAGGGAAGCCCUAGGGACAAUUCGGAAACCAGCGCUACGUCUCUCCAUCCUGUCCCCCUAACACACCAGCAGUGGAGAGAAAUGAACUGUGCCGAUGCCUUCAGGCUGAUUCCUGGCUGCCAGGAGUAAGCUGACUCCAUUCCCCACAUGCAGAAGAGAAGCUGAAGCCCAGAAUACCCCCGCUGCAUCCUCCCUGCUCAGCUCCCACAAACUCCACAUAGAGAAAGCGGCAUUGGAUGGAAAGCCAAGGAGAGAAUCAUAUCUAUUUCUAGUGACUCACGAAUGGGAGCCCUCUCUUUCAAGAAAACCAUGAUGUUAGAUCAAGAAAGGACCUGAGUUACACCUCUCUCACUGCAGAGCUCCGGGGGAAGUACCCAGAGUUGUUGCCAGGCCAUGAUAGUUACCGAGUCCUGGUGCAUUCAGGCACCGUCCUUAAGUACAGGAGCCUCGGGAUGGAAUGAAACAGAAUCUCCUUGCUCUCAUGAAGUCUUUGGAGAAAAGGGGAAAGAAUAAAGGGAACACAAGGAGAGCAGCAGCGCCGCUGUCUUAUGCUGUAUGUAUUUUGUACGAGUGAUCAGGAAAGGCCUCAGCAAGGAUGCCAUUUGAACACAGGUUGGAAGGAAGGGAGAGAGCAAACCAUGUGGAUGUUGGGAAGCAGGUUCUGGGCAGAGGGAAUAGUAUGUGCAAAGGGCCGGAGGCAGGAGCACGCCUGGUGUUUGAUAACCAGCAAAGAGGCCAGUGUGGCUGCAGGAGGGCAAGCGAGGGAGAGAGCAGGUGGUAGAGAUGGAGAGUGUGGGAAGCCAGCUCAUGCCAGGCCAUGGUGAGGACUUUGGCUUUUAUUCCAAAUGCGUGAGGAGUGUAGGAAUGACAGGUCACAUGAGCAUGUGUGGAUGUGGUACCAGGGACUGAACCCGGGGCCUUCGCACUGAGCUACACCCUCAGCCCUUUAUUUCAUUUCAUUUUAUUUUUGAGACAAAGUCUCCCUAAGUUGCCCAGGCCGGCCCAAACUUGUAGUCCUCCUGCCUCAGCCUCCCCGAGUGCUGGGAUUGCAGGCGUGUGCCACCAUAUCUGACUCAUGCCCAUUCUUUUUUAG
rnacentral:lncRNA from 1 species